UACGGGGGGAGCAAGCGUUGUUCGGAUUUACUGGGCGUAAAGGGCGCGUAGGCGGUCAGCACAAGUCAGUUGUGAAAUCUCCGGGCUUAACCCGGAAAGGUCAACUGAUACUGUGCGACUAGAGUGCGGAAGGGGCAACUGGAAUUCUCGGUGUAGCGGUGAAAUGCGUAGAGAUCGGGAAGAACAUCGGUGGCGAAAGCGCUCUACUGGACGGUAUCUGACACUGAGGGACGAAAGCUAGGGGAGCGAAUGGG
rnacentral:rRNA from 1 species